rnacentral:rRNA from 1 species
UACAGAGGGUGCAAGCGUUGUUCGGAAUUAUUGGGCGUAAAGCGCGUGUAGGCGGCUUUGCAAGUCGGGUGUGAAAGCCCUCAGCUUAACUGAGGAAGUGCGCCCGAAACUGCCGAGCUUGAGUACCGGAGAGGAUGGCGGAAUUCCCCAAGUAGAGGUGAAAUUCGUAGAUAUGGGGAGGAACACCGGUGGCGAAGGCGGCCAUCUGGACGGAUACUGACGCUGAGACGCGAAAGCGUGGGUAGCAAACAGG